ACCAUGUGGUUGCUGGGAUUUGAACUUCGGACCUUCGGAAGAACAGUCGGGUGCUCUUACCCACUGAGCCAUCUCACCAGCCCGAAUGAUCUUUCCAACAUUAAUUAUAAAACUGAAGAGACAGGCAAGCUACUCAGCCUCAGUUUCCCCAGGGGAUGAUUUUUUUCUGCUAUCUGGCAGCUUUUUGUGCCAUCGUUUGGGACUGGGGACUGGGUGUUUCUAGUCUUGUUCUGGUGUCAGGGCAAUGCUGGCCUCGUGCAGUACGUUUGAAGCAUUUUCUCUAACGUUUUUUGAAGAGUUUGAGAGGAUUGGUGCUAGCUGUUCAUUAGGUGUUCAGUAGCUUUCUCCUGGUCUCUGUUCUCAUUGUCUUGCUCUGGGCACAAACUCAGAUACUUAUGGGCGGGCAAGUCCUGGCCAGGCUGACAACUCUGUUUUGUUAUGUGAUUAAGCUCAGAGGUCACUCCUCUCAUGUAGGUCACCUCAAAUGGCCUUGGCCAUUCCUGACAGGGUUUUCAGAAUGCAAGCCUGUUAUGUAACAUAAAACAGACCAGACAUAAGGAAAGUCUGGGUUAACUCCAUGCAACUGUAGAUUACUUGUGUUUUCUAGGGACACUCCUAAUUAAAAUAAGAAACAAAUGAUACUUUCCAAUAGAGUGUAUAAAACCAGCACAUAUACCAUGGCAGAGAGCCCUCUCUCUUAACUGAUUCAACUCAGUAAUAGUAGUAACCGUGCCAACAGAGAAAUGGGAGAGUACCUGCCUGGCCAAACUGACAACCAGAGCUCAGUAGUCAGAGUGAAAAGAGGGCACUACACACACUCCAGACUUGGCCUCUGAUUCCCACAGUGCACUGUGACAUGUGCGCACAUCACACACACACACCAAUAAUAAUGAUUACAGUUUAAAAAUAGGGGCUGGAGAGAUGGCUCAGUGGUUUAGAGCACUGACUGUUCUUCCAAAGGUCAAAGGUCGUGAUUCAAUUCCCAGCAACCACAUGGUGGCUCACAACUAUCUAUAAAGGGAUCUGAUACCCUCUUUUGGGGUCUGUCUGAAGACAGUGACAGUGUACUCACAUACAUAAAAUAAACCUUAUUUUUCUGUACUUGGGUACUUUUGCUUGCCUGUAUGUAUAUCUCUGAAACAUAUGUUUGCAGUGCUGUGGAGGUCAGACAGGGCAUCAGCUCCCCUGGAGUUGGAGUUACAAAUAAUUGUGAGCUGCCAUGUGAGUGAUGGCAACCAAACCCAGUCCUCUGUAAGAGCAGCCACUGAUCUCAACCUCUGAGCCAGCUCUCAGCCCCCUUUAAAAUACGCACUCACCAUGUCAUUAAACUGUGAGAGUGUCACCCCCAAAAUGUCCUAAGGCCCUAGGUUAAAGUGUUACUAUCAUUUAGAAAUAUAAGCCAGUAUUUUUUGUUUGUUUGUUUUUUGUUUUUGGUGUUGUUGUUGUUGUUAUUUCUUUUUUGAGACAGGGUUUCUCUGUGUAGCCCUGGCUGUCCUGGAACUCACUCUGUAGACCAGGCUGGCCUCGAACUCAGAAAUCCGCCUGCCGAUUAUUAGACAUCUUUUGUGUGACUAAUCUCGUCCCCGACUCUGUAGUUUAGAAGGAUGAUGAAGACAAAUCUUUUUAGGAAAUCCACCCCAGAUUAAAAGAUUAAAAUGUUGGGCUAGAGAAGUGGCUUCAUGCUUAAGAACAUGUAUUGCUCCUGUACAAAACCCCAAUUCAGUCCCUAGCAUCUACAUGGGACUCACAACAGCCUUUAACUCCAGUUCCAGAAGACCGCUGGGAUAUAAUAUAUAAUAACCCUAUCUGGUCUCCUCAGGCUUGUAUUCUAUAUAAUAUAAUAUCCUCAUCCAGUCUCCGCAGACACCUCUAUGCAUGUGGUGCACAUAAACUCAGGUGUAGGCACACACAAAUACAUUUGAAACAAACUAAAACAAAAAUGAUGAUGUUGUCCAGAGAGAGAGAGUGAACUUACAUGUUACCUGGAUGAUGAGUAAUUGGUUAAUAGUACUGGAUAAAGAUAAGCAUAAACCAGUGAUCUGAGACAAGGUGGUACUCUCGCCAGAGAUCGAGUGCAGUGAUAUACUGUUCAGAGUUGAACAAAGGGCGACAGUGAAAGAUAGUGUAACGUGAGGACCUGUUGUGACAGGUUCUGAGUCCCUGAGGAGUAGGUUUCCAGGAGAGGAUGCUCAUAGCCUGUCAUUCCUGCAGGAAGCUUGGGACAGGAGACCCUUGAAAAUUCCAGAUUGGCCUGGACCAACCUGUCUCUCAUUCUCCCCCCCCCCCCCCCCGUCUGUCUCUGUCUCUUUCACUCUCUCUCUCACUGUGAACAUUUUUAAAAGAAAAUACAGCUCUUAUUUUAAAGGGAAUAAGAGAUAAUUUGUUCUGAGUUCAGCAUGGGUGAACAUGAACAGGGACUCUGAUUAUCCUCCGUGGCAUGUUCCAUAGUAGAAAUGGUCACAUAGCAAAAGACAGCCAUAGUCAAUGCUUUUAUGGAAAAAAAUUGUGGGGAUAUCAGGUAGACAAGUUAACAAAGCUUUGCGAUAAAAUGUUUAUGAGAGAGCUGGGCAGUGGUGGUGUACGCCUUUAAUCCCAGCACUUGGGAGGCAGAGGCAGGUGGAUUUAUGAGUUCGAGGCCAGCCUGGUCUACAAAGUGAGUUCCAGGACAGCCAGGACUAUACAGAGAAACCCUGUCUUGAAAAAAACAAC
rnacentral:lncRNA from 1 species